ACCGUAAAUUAUUAAAUAAAUUCAUGAAUACUGUAGAGUCUCUUGUUUUUAUUUAUUCAUUUUUCUUUUAGUGAAUUACUUAUUAUGUGAUUAUGUGCGCUUAUAAUUAAUAGUGUUAUUAGUCACAUUUUUUUUUAGGAAUGCAUAUACACAUAUGUAGACAUUCACUUUGACAGUGUUCAAAUUCUUAGGCCUUUGACCGAGUCCGUUGGGAUCUAUAUAUGUUGUAUAGUGGGUGGUGUUAGAAACUUUUGGGACUAAUUAUUUAUUUAAUGGUUAGUUUUGGGGGUCUUUGUGUGAGGACUUAUAGCCUGGAGGUAGUAAAAUAGCAUCUUGACACUUGAGGGAGAAAUAGUGUAAUUGCUACACUUACACCCAUUUAACACCGGGGAUCAACAUUUCUUCGUUGAUUCCCUUUUUUUUUUUUUGGUCUUUUCCUUUUCCCGUCUCUCUCUUCUCCCUCUCGAAUGUUCUUCUCUCUCCCAUCUCCACACCUUCUCUCUACAAUUAAGGGACCAAACGGCAUUCCCGUGCAAAACUGAUCCCGAAUUCGUAAUCCUCACGGUAAGAGCUUCAAUUUCGGGCAAAAUUGGGUUUUUGUCUCCAUUGAGGUGGAAAUGACUACCCGAAGGCUUGAGAGAGCUUCAUGGUCUUCUACAUGGGAAUGUUCAUCUCAAUUAUGUAAAGCUUUUUAGGCAGGGACUAGAAUUUCUUUUUGUAUAUUGUAAAGUUUGUAAGCCUAGUUAAUAAAGCUAAUUGGGACCCGUACUUAUUCUGGCAUGUAAUUAGCCACCAUAAACCUUUAUUUCCGCACUGGUGAUGUAAAAAGUAUGUUGGGGUUGGUGGAUGGAAAAUUUUGCAAAACUAUGAUGAUAUUGAACAUCUUUAGACUCU